rnacentral:rRNA from 1 species
AGCUUGCUUCCUCAAUCGAGUGGCGAACGGGUGAGUAACGCGUGAGGAACCUGCCUCAAAGAGGGGGACAACAGUUGGAAACGACUGCUAAUACCGCAUAAGCCCACAGCUCGGCAUCGAGCAGAGGGAAAAGGAGCAAUCCGCUUUGAGAUGGCCUCGCGUCCGAUUAGCUAGUUGGUGAGGUAAUGGCCCACCAAGGCAACGAUCGGUAGCCGGACUGAGAGGUUGAACGGCCACAUUGGGACUGAGACACGGCCCAGACUCCUACGGGAGGCAGCAGUGGGGAAUAUUGCACAAUGGGGGAAACCCUGAUGCAGCGACGCCGCGUGGAGGAAGAAGGUCUUCGGAUUGUAAACUCCUGUUGUUGAGGAAGAUAAUGACGGUACUCAACAAGGAAGUGACGGCUAACUACGUGCCAGCAGCCGCGGUAAAACGUAGGUCACAAGCGUUGUCCGGAAUUACUGGGUGUAAAGGGAGCGCAGGCGGGAAGACAAGUUGGAAGUGAAAUCUAUGGGCUCAACCCAUAAACUGCUUUCAAAACUGUUUUUCUUGAGUAGUGCAGAGGUAGGCGGAAUUCCCGGUGUAGCGGUGGAAUGCGUAGAUAU